UGCAACCCAGCCUGCCUUCCAAA
rnacentral:piRNA from 1 species